rnacentral:rRNA from 1 species
AUUGAACGCUGGCGGCAGGCUUAACACAUGCAAGUCGAGCGGAGAUGAGGUGCUUGCACCUUAUCUUAGCGGCGGACGGGUGAGUAAUGCUUAGGAAUCUGCCUAUUAGUGGGGGACAACAUUCCGAAAGGGAUGCUAAUACCGCAUACGUCCUACGGGAGAAAGCAGGGGAUCUUCGGACCUUGCGCUAAUAGAUGAGCCUAAGUCGGAUUAGCUAGUUGGUGGGGUAAAGGCCUACCAAGGCGACGAUCUGUAGCGGGUCUGAGAGGAUGAUCCGCCACACUGGGACUGAGACACGGCCCAGACUCCUACGUGAGGCAGCAGUGGGGAAUAUUGGACAAUGGGGGGAACCCUGAUCCAGCCAUGCCGCGUGUGUAAAGAAGGCCUUAUGGUUGUAAAGCACUUUAAGCGAGGAGGAGGCUACUGAGACUAAUACUCUUGGAUAGUGGACGUUACUCGCAGAAUAAGCACCGGCUAACUCUGUGCCAGCCGCCGCAGUAACAC